GGCCACGUCGACGCAUUUGCUUUUUCUCCGUUUCAGCGUGGGCUGUGGGGCUGGUUGGGCCGUUGGGCUUCUUUUGUUGCGCUGGGGUGUGUUCUAGAAUCCUCCCGAAACGGCCGACCCCUGCCGAUCGCUCUCGUCGCCAUAGCUUUUCGGUCUGCUGUCCCGUGGCCGCGUACGGGACUGGUUCGUCGAUUUCCCCUCCGGCAUCGCUUGUGGAUACUCCAUGUAUCCUCUGCUCGCCGGUGUGGUUGUCAGGGUUAAUUCAUAGAAGAUUGUCUUUUGCCUCGGCGCCUGGAAUUCCUUUCAUGGGGCUGACGAUUUUGGUUGUACUUCUCUUUGCAAAGCUUCCUCUGCACUUCUAGAAAUUUUGGGAAGUUUUCAGUUCUAAUUCUUGGUUAUUCCUCUUUGGAUUGCCCCUCUUUAUCUCAUGCUUCUUCAUCAAUGUGCUGGUGGCUGGUGCUGCAGGGCAGUCCAUGUAUUGGGGAGACGGUUUGGAUGUUGUGAGAGUGCUGCCUCCGUUUGCUGGUUGUUGGGCUGCUUCCUGCUCCUUGCUGCUUUUUUGAAAGAUUCCAUAGGUCCUGUACAUGUCUGAUUGCAUCGAUCGGGAAUUGGCUUCCUGUUCUCCAGGUGAUUCUUGGGGUGGUGUCUUGGUGAUGUUUUGCUGUGGCUGUUCUUUACUGUUGCGUGUCGCUGGGCCAUCUGUAGGAGUGGCGCUUGAUUGUCCGCUGCUUGGGUGGUUUUGAUUUUCUUCUGUUGUUUUCGUUGUCUGAUGCAUGUGUUUGUUUCUCUGCGAUUUUGGCCCCGUCCAGUCCCCUGGAAGCCUGUCUGGAAGUGAGCUUCUUGCUACACCCUUCUCCUCUCCCCUUUAUUUUAUAUUCAGUUCAAUCUCAAUUCCCCGAACUGUUGUUUCGUGCUUAUCUUCGAUGGUUGAUUAGAGUUUGGGCUGGAUGAUUUAUGUGUCAGGAUGUUUGAUUCACCAAACUUGAUUGGGUGUAGUGACAAAUUCAGACUUAAUUUGGUUCAAUUUUGUUGCGAUUAGGUUGCAAGAUUGAGAUCCAUGAAGAACUCUCCUGAUAUGUAUAUAGGCUUCACAAUUUAGUUAUGAACAAUAAGGUUGCUGGACUUGGGCGCUGAUUCUGCGUGUAUUGAUCAAAUGGUCAUGUUGUUUAAACAAAAUUACUUCAAAAGCUUAUUGUUCUGCAGCUGCGCUCAAAAAAUUUGAGGGAAAAGACCAUCAAUUUCCAUCAUUUGAUUGAAGAGAAUCAUUUUACAAUAAAGGAGAUUUGAUCCCCCGGAGGGGAGGCGAGCAAAAACCGAAAAGACUCUCUAUGGUGCUUCUGUUUUCGUCGGACGUAUUUGUUGAUUUUGGGAUAUAGGGUGUUGGUUGCCCGUAUCACCGCCGCAGAUAUCGGUGGCAGCAUUGAAGCAAACAUGACGCAUUUAAUCGAAGGUAUCAAGAUAUUCUAGGCGUUACUUCAGCUCCAAAUGUUCGACGUCAUACAAUUUAUAUUGAUAAGAAGUUUUUGCCACAAAUUUCUGCCACAAUGAGCGGGGUGUCAUGUACUGGCAUCAGUGAAGGGAUUGAUAAAUUUUGCAAUCAUUCUUGAACUUUAGUCCAGCUGGAGGUGCCCAAGAUGCAUCCUGGUUUAUCUAUAAUCCAAUUUUCAUUGUCCAAAAACCUGAGACGUGCAAUGAAAUGUUGCUAUUGGCCAGCAUUUGUAAUUUGCCAGGUUUGCUGAUAGAUUUACAAAUUGGAAGGUACAUAAUGUUUGAUGUACCAUAAGUGGUUCGACUUUCUGAGGGAGACACAAACACAAAAGAAAUCAUGCAGGGUGUAACCCACCUUGACGAUAUGACAAUUAAUGAUAAUUUUGUUCAGAUAA